CUCAGACUUUAGCAACUCAGACUUUCAAAGAAUGGAAUGGUGAGCCUUGAACAAGAAGUUUUGGGUUUACCGAUGACCCUGGGGUCUGAAAUCCACGUGUGGAUGCCCUUUCCAGAUGCAGCCAAGAUGCCACACGUUCCAGGAGAAGGAAGUGGGCAAGAUCACUGUGCGACUCCUCAGCCAAGCUCUGGACCUGGCUUGGACUCGGAAUGAGGAAUAUCCGCUAGUUCCCCUUGGGCAAUGUGCGGAUUAAGCCCAGGAGAGCUCUUCCUUCUUGUCACAAGAGCCCAUGGGCUCUACCCUGCAGCACAGCUGCCUCACUCAGGAGAGAGUGGAGGCUUUGCCAAACGGAUCUGGGAACAGGAAAUCAGUCCCAGGCGGGCAGCAUCGCCACUGCUACACACCUGGCGUCCUGUCACCGAGUUGUCCUUCUCUCUGGGAGUCAGCUUGAAGGUCAGUCGUCAAAGCAAAGGACACUACUUGAGUUACAUUAAAGGAGGAAGAGCCCCCUUGGUGGGACACCUCUCCUCACUGGCCUGGGCUCACUCAUGACUCAAGGUCUCCUGGAAAUAGCCAGAAAUAUGGGAUUUAUGAUCAGAUUGACCCAACCAAAAAGCAAAGGUUUACAGGCACAUUUACUCUCAGACUGUUUUCUACAAUUCACCCCAAGCUUUGGCUCCAUUCUGGCCUGGCAGCAAAUCACAGCAGCGGAGGAAAGCCUGGCCUGUGGGGCCCACGCACUGGAGUGUAGCUCAGUGCUCCUCCUGCAGGAAGCCCACCUGAAGGUGGAGCCUACAGGGAUCACCUCCAGGAUGAGAGUUUUUCGUAUGCCACAGUGAUGCUGCUGUCCUUAUGGAUCACAUGAAAGAAAAAAAACUUUGUUUUUGAGCUCUUGAAGAGUAGGAGUUGCUUCCCACAGUUCACAUUAAAAGGAGCACUUUUUCGGAGGGUGGUGAUUGGGUGUUAAGACUCUUAUUCUAAGCACCCAUGGGACGCCUCCUAGUAGCUCUGGGGAGGUGGACAGCGGUCCUGCAUGUGAGGGACGGGUGUGGGGAAGAAGCCCAGGCAGGCGGCCAGGUCUGCAGUGACAGCCAGGCUGUCUCCCAGGGAGAAAGCGUGAAGCACACAGCUCGUCCCCUCUCCUUCCUAGCCUGCAUCACUCACGGCUCCUUCACACAAGGUGUUUCACUUCCGUUUAUGGGCAGCCAUGGGGCACUUGACUUUCUGCACAUGGCCUAUUCUACUUAAAUGAACGUUCACCGUCUCCAGCCAUUUUGGUGGUUUUGCAUAUGAACCAAGUUAUUCUGUGCCCAGUAAACACACAUUAAAAUAGCACAGCUCACCCUAAAAUGGGCAUCUGUACUGGAUGGUAAUUAAAAGUUUAAAAACUUAAAAGUAAA